AGAUUGAACGCUGGCGGCGUGCUUAACACAUGCAAGUCGAGCGGUAACGCGGGAGCAAUCCUGGCGACGAGCGGCGAACGGGUGAGUAAUGCUUGGGAAUCUGCCCAUUAGUGGGGAACAACCAGCCGAAAGGUUGGCUAAUACCGCAUACGCCCUACGGGGGAAAGCGGGGGAUCGUAAGACCUCGCGCUAAUGGAUGAGCCCAAGUCGGAUUAGCUUGUUGGUAGGGUAACGGCCUACCAAGGCGACAAUCCGUAGCUGGUCUGAGAGGACGACCAGCCACACUGGGACUGAGACACGGCCCAGACUCCUACGGGAGGCAGCAGUGGGGAAUUUUACGCAAUGGGCGAAAGCCUGACGUAGCGACACCGCGUGAACGAAGAAGCCUUUGGGUGUAAAGUUCUGUCGGCUGGGACGAAAAAAAUGACGGUACCAGACAAAGGAAGCAUCGGACUAACUACGUGCCAGCAGCCGC
rnacentral:rRNA from 1 species